GACGAACGCUGGCGGCGUGCCUAACACAUGCAAGUCGAACGGGGUAGCCUCUUCGGAGACUACUUAGUGGCGAACGGGUGAGUAACGCGUGAGGAACCUGCCUCUCAGUGGGGGACAACAGUUGGAAACGACUGCUAAUACCGCAUAAUGUAGCGAGCUCGCAUGAUCAUGCUACCAAAGAUUUAUUGCUGAGAGAUGGCCUCGCGUCUGAUUAGAUAGUUGGUGGGGUAACGGCCUACCAAGUCGACGAUCAGUAGCCGGUCUGAGAGGAUGAACGGCCACAUUGGGACUGAGAUACGGCCCAGACUCCUACGGGAGGCAGCAGUGGGGAAUAUUGGGCAAUGGGGGAAACCCUGACCCAGCAACGCCGCGUGAAGGAAGAAGGCCUUCGGGUUGUAAACUUCUUUUACCAGGGACGAACAAAUGACGGUACCUGGAGAAAAAGCAACGGCUAACUACGUGCCAGCAGCCGCCGUAACAC
rnacentral:rRNA from 1 species